GUCCUUUUGAAAUUGAUUUAAGGUUUAACCUGCCCACUGAAAUUUUUUGAAGGGCCGCAGUAAUUUGACUGUGCAAAGGUAGCAUAAUCAUUAGUUUUUUAAUUAAAAGCUUGUAUGAAGGGUUGGACGAGAUAAAUUCUGUCUCUAUUUAAUUAAAUUUAGAAUUUAAUUUUUAAGUUAAAAAGCUUAAAUUUUUUUAAAAGACGAGAAGACCCUAUAGAUCUUUAUAUUAGAAAUAUUAAUUUUAAUUAGGAAUAUUUUAUAUUUUAUUAUUAAUAAUAUUUUAUUGGGGUAAUAAAAAGAUUUAAUUAAUUCUUUUUUUAUUUAAACAUUAAUAAAUGAUUAUAUGAUCCAUUUUUAUUGAUUAAAAGAUUAAGUUACCUUAGGGAUAACAGCGUAAUUUUUUUAGAGAGUUCAUAUCGAUAAAAAAGUUUGCGACCUCGAUGUUGGAUUAAAAAUUAUCUUAGGUGUAGAAUUUUAAGAUUUUGGUCUGUUCGACCAUUAAAUUUUUACAUGAUCUGAGUUCAGACCGGCGUAAGCCAGGUCGGUUUCUAUCUUUAAUAAAAUUUUAUAUUUUAGUACGAAAGGACCAAUUAUAAGAUAUAUUUAUAUUUAAUUAUUUUGAAUAU
rnacentral:rRNA from 1 species